UACGGGGGGGGCAAGCGUUGUUCGGAAUUACUGGGCGUAAAGGGCGCGUAGGCGGCCUUCUAAGUCAGACGUGAAAUCCCUCGGCUCAACCGGGGAACUGCGUCUGAGACUGGAGGGCUUGAAUCCGGGAGAGGGAUGUGGAAUUCCAGGUGUAGCGGUGAAAUGCGUAGAGAUCAGGAAGAACAUCGGUGGCGAAGGCGCUCUGCUGGACCAUAACUGACACUCAGGGACGAAAGCUAGGGGAGCGAAUGGG
rnacentral:rRNA from 1 species